UAGACCNCNUGGNGAGUACGGUCGCAAGAUUAAAACUCAAANGAAUNGACGGGGGCCCGCACAAGCGGNGGAGCAUGUGGUUUAAUUNGAUGCAACGCGAAGAACCUUACCUACUCUUGACAUCCAGAGAAUNUAGCGGAGACGCUGGAGUGCCUUCGGGAGCUCUGAGACAGGUGCUGCAUGGCUGUCGUCAGCUNGUGUUNUGAAAUGUUGGGUUAANUCCCNCAACGAGCGCAACCCUUAUCCUUGUUUGCCAGCACGUAAUGGUGGGAACUCCAGGGAGACUGCCGGUGAUAAACCGGAGGAAGGUGGGGACGACGUCAAGUCAUCAUGGCCCUUACGAGUAGGGCUACACACGUGCUACAAUGGCGUAUACAGAGGGCAGCGAUACCNCGAGGUGGAGCGGAUCCCAAAAAGUGCAUCGUAGUCCGGAUUGGAGUCUGCAACUNGACUCCAUGAAGUCGGAAUCGCUAGUAAUCGUGGAUCANAANNNCACGGUGAAUACGUUCCCGGGCCUUGUACACACCGCCCNUCAUCUUGCNGAAAA
rnacentral:rRNA from 1 species